UUAAGGGGAAGUCGGUGAUCCUAUGCUGCCAAGAAAAUCUUCUAGCGAGGUUCUAGCCGCCCGUACCCCAAACCGACUCAGGUGGUUAGGUAGAGAAUACCAAGGCGAUCGAGUGAAUCGUGGUUAAGGAAUUCGGCAAAAUACCCCCGUAACUUCGGGAGAAGGGGGGCCCAGAGGGUGACGGGACUUGCUCCCCGAGCCUGAACGGCCGCAGAGACCAGGGAGAAGCGACUGUUUACUAAAAACACAGGUCCGUGCCAAGUCGCAAGACGAUGUAUACGGACUGACGCCUGCCCGGUGCUGGAACGUUAAGGGGACCGGUUAGCCUCACGGCGAAGCUGAGAACUUAAGCGCCAGUAAACGGCGGUGGUAACUAUAACCAUCCUAAGGUAGCGAAAUUCCUUGUCGGGUAAGUUCCGACCUGCACGAAUGGCGUAACGACUUCUCCACUGUCUCAACCACGAACUCGGCGAAAUUGCACUACGAGCAAAGAUGCUCGUUACGCGCAGAAGGACGGAAAGACCCCGGGACCUUUACUACAGCUUGGUAUUGGUGUUCGGUACGGCUUGUGUAGGAUAGGUGGGAGACUGUGAAGCUGACACGCCAGUGUCGGUGGAGUCAACGUUGAAAUACCACUCUGGUCGUUCUGGAUAUCUAACCUAGGUCCGUAAUCCGGAUCAGGGACAGUGCCUGGUGGGUAGUUUAACUGGGGCGGUUGCCUCCUAAAAGGUAACGGAGGCGCCCAAAGGUUCCCUCAGCCUGGUUGGCAAUCAGGUUUCGAGUGUAAGUGCACAAGGGAGCUUGACUGUGAGACUGACAAGUCGAACAGGGACGAAAGUCGGGACUAGUGAUCCGGCGGUGGCUUGUGGAAGCGCCGUCGCUCAACGGAUAAAAGGUACCCCGGGGAUAACAGGCUGAUCUUGCCCAAGAGUCCAUAUCGACGGCAUGGUUUGGCACCUCGAUGUCGGCUCGUCGCAUCCUGGGGCUGGAGUAGGUCCCAAGGGUUGGGCUGUUCGCCCAUUAAAGCGGUACGCGAGCUGGGUUUAGAACGUCGUGAGACAGUUCGGUCCCUAUCCUCUGCGCGCGCAGGAAACUUGAGAAGGGCUGUCCCUAGUACGAGAGGACCGGGAUGGACGAACCUCUGGUGUGUCAGUUGUUCUGCCAAGAGCACCGCUGAUUAGCUACGUUCGGGAGUGAUAACCGCUGAAAGCAUCUAAACGGGAAGCAUGCUUCAAGAUGAGGUUUCCAUGGGGUUUACCCCGAGAGGCUCCCAGCUAGACUACUGGGUUGAUAGGCCGGAUGUGGAAGUGCGGUAACGCAUGGAGCUGACCGGUACUAAUAAGCCGAUAACUUGAC
rnacentral:rRNA from 1 species